rnacentral:SRP_RNA from 1 species
UCGUACAGCCGGGGCGGUAGCGGUGCCCUGUACUUGCAAUCCGCUAUAGCAAGGGUUAUGUCUUUUACGAGGGUUAUCUUUGUACGGUUUUGCGCUCUGUGAUGGGUGUUGAUGGCAAGGUCUUACGCAAUACAAGGUUGUGAACCAGGUCAGGUGGGGAACCAAGCAGCCUUAAGCAAUUUUUUUGUAUGUGCCGUAAGGAAACCUUUCCUGAGCUUUAUCAUUUUGUUGCACGUGGAAUAGAUAAUUCGACUUUAAGGCGUACGG